rnacentral:lncRNA from 1 species
CAGACUAGUACAAGUUAUACUGCUCUGCACAGCUAGAAGAGAACACCAUGGUUAACACAUGAAAAAUAGCUGGUCAAAGCCAGAGCAGGUACAAAGUGAUAGAAGAAAGCUGAUUGGAUGAGCACAUGGAAUGAUGAAGUAGAAGGAAAAAACAUUUAGAGAAAUAUAGAGCCCUAGUAUUCCAAGGUAAUUGCUAGGUCGGCUUCAAGAACAAACAGACAUACAGUUUACUGUGGCACCAGUUUCCUAGGAAAAUACACUCUAAUUCCUCCUUCCAGGCUCAAGGCUUUUAAGAAUUUUAGUAAGCUUCACAAAGGUCAAUCUUUCUACUACUUCUGGUAUCAAUGAAAGGGGUAAGGAACAGGAGAGAGUCUCUGCAGAUUCUAGGUUGAAGCACAAACUGUACAUUAUUAAAGGUGACACAGUGAACUGGGUAUGUUAGGACUGACACCCAGGUCAGUGGACCCCUGUUUCCACCCCAACUGUCACUAAACAUUUCAUGU